rnacentral:rRNA from 1 species
AAGAUACGCGAAGAACCUUACCUAGCCUUGACAUAUUAAAGAAUUCACCAGAGAUGGAGAAGUGCCUUCGGGAGCUUCAUUACA